AACGAACGCUGGCGGCAUGCCUAACACAUGCAAGUCGAACGAAGCCCUCGGGCUUAGUGGCGCACGGGUGCGUAACACGUGGGAAUCUGCCCUUUGGUUCGGAAUAACAGUUAGAAAUGACUGCUAAUACCGGAUAAUGACGUAAGUCCAAAGAUUUAUCGCCGAAGGAUGAGCCCGCGUAGGAUUAGGUAGUUGGUGGGGUAAUGGCCCACCAAGCCGACGAUCCUUAGCUGGUCUGAGAGGAUGAUCAGCCACACUGGGACUGAGACACGGCCCAGACUCCUACGGGAGGCAGCAGUGGGGAAUAUUGGACAAUGGGCGAAAGCCUGAUCCAGCAAUGCCGCGUGAGUGAUGAAGGCCUUAGGGUUGUAAAGCUCUUUUACCAGGGAUGAUAAUGACAGUACCUGGAGAAUAAGCUCCGGCUAACUCCGUGCCAGCAGCCGCGGUAAU
rnacentral:rRNA from 1 species